AAGCAUGAAGAUGAAAUAAUUGAUAAUAAAUGCAGAGAAGAUGAAAAUACUCAUGUUUGAGAGAAAUAAAGAAUGUACAAGAUGUGAAGUUGAAUUGAAUGGGGAUGAAUUUGGAACAGGUGAAUGAAUUUGUAUAUUUAGGAGUUAUGUUUGAGAGGGAGGGCUGCACUGAUAAGAUUAUGAGAAAAACAAAUGCUGAAUUAAAAGUUGUAGUUGCACUUGAAAGCUAUGUGAAGAAUGAGAAUUUGUCAAGAAAUGCUAAGAUAGCUGUAUACCAGUAUAUGCUUAGUUCCAACAGUAUGGAUAGAAGUGAAAUUUGGGUAUGGAAUGAAAGGCAUAGAAAGCAUUUUAGUGCAGUGAAGAUGAGAGGCUAGAGAAGUAUAGCUGGAUUAAUAAAAUAUGAUUGUAAUUGAAUGAUAAAAUAGAUGUAGUAUGUAAGUUAACUUUGAAAUGAUUUGGUAAUUUAGAGUGAAUGAGUGAAGAGCAAUUAACAAAGCAAGUAUAUAUUGGAAGUGUGGAAAGUAAAUGUGGAAGAGGAAGG
rnacentral:lncRNA from 1 species